CCCAAGCGACUGUUUACCAAAAACACAAGUCUCUGCUAAAUCGAAAGAUGAAGUAUAGGGGCUGACACCUGCCCGGUGCUGGAAGGUUAAGGGGAAGAGUUAGCGAAAGCGAAGCUCAGAACUUAAGCCCCAGUAAACGGCGGCCGUAACUAUAACGGUCCUAAGGUAGCGAAAUUCCUUGUCGGGUAAGUUCCGACCCGCACGAAAGGUGUAACGACUUGGGCGCUGUCUCAACAAAGGAUCCGGUGAAAUUGUAGUACACGUGAAGAUGCGUGUUACCCACGACAGGACGGAAAGACCCCGUGGAGCUUUACUGUAGGCUGACAUUGGACUUUGGAAUUACAUGUACAGGAUAGGUGGGAGGCUGAGAAGCAUGGGCGCCAGUCUGUGCGGAGCCGGCGGUGGGAUACCACCCUUGUAGUUCUGGAGUUCUAACCAGAGGCUGUGAACCAGUCUUGGGACACUGUCAGUUGGGCAGUUUGACUGGGGCGGUCGCCUCCUAAAGAGUAACGGAGGCGCUCAAAGGUUCCCUCAGCACGGUCGGGAAUCGUGCAAAGAGUGUAAAGGCAGAAGGGAGCUUGACUGCGACACCAACAAGUGGAGCAGGGUAGAAAUACGGACUUAGUGAUCCGGUGGUACCGAGUGGAAGGGCCAUCGCUCAACGGAUAAAAGCUACCCCGGGGAUAACAGGCUUAUCUCCCCCAAGAGUCCACAUCGACGGGGAGGUUUGGCACCUCGAUGUCGGCUCGUCUCAUCCUGGGGCUGGAGUAGGUCCCAAGGGUUGGGCUGUUCGCCCAUUAAAGAGGCACGCGAGCUGGGUUCAGAACGUCGUGAGACAGUUCGGUCCCUAUCCGUCGUGGGCGUAGGAAAUUUGAGAGGAUCUGUCCCUAGUACGAGAGGACCGGGAUGGACAGACCGCUGGUGCAUCAGUUGUUUCGCCAGAGGCACAGCUGAGUAGCUAAGUCUGGACGGGAUAAGUGCUGAAGGCAUCUAAGCACGAAGCCCCCCUCAAGAUAAGAUUUCCCACCGAAAGGUUAAGACUCCAAGUAGACUACUUGGUAGAUAGGCCUCAGGUGUAAGAGUAGCAAUACUCUUAGCUAAGAGGUACUAAUAAGUCGAGGGCUUGACCAGAAAUAUAAUGUAUUGUUUAGUUUAUGACCUAACCCCAUUUGCGAAAUGUAUUUAGAGCAAAUGGAUGGUAGGUCAAACGCAA
rnacentral:rRNA from 1 species